CCUAUUUUAUAUGGAGUCAACUCUGUUUACUGCGAUGAUUUAGCAAUCGAUUAAAUAAGCACCGAUGACAGUGAAACAUGUCGUUGAAAGAGACGCGAAGAGACAACACCAAAGAAAAAAUCCACACGCAAACACAGUAAUAGGUACACACAGACACACAUUCAAGUCACGCCAUCGCAUAUGCACAUGCGAACAGAAGUCAUCACCACACUCGUCAUAUAAUUCUCAAUAUAAAUUCGCAUGUUUAUUUAGUUUAAGUGAUUUACUUAACAAUUGAAUUCGAUAAAAUUUUAAAUUUAAAUUUGUACAUUAAAACUCCAUUUUUUUUGCUGCCUAUUGGAAAUCGAUCCGGUAAGGUAUUGCUUGUGCCUGACAAAUUUCGGUCUGCCUACAUCAGAAUUUAUUACAAUCUGCCACAAAAGUUUCUCUUUGUUUUCUCUGCGCUCUCGUCAAGUGGAUCGCCUCAUCUAUUAAGUCAAAAAUGUCUGACACAAGAUCAAGAAAGAAUGCAGCCUCGAGUCAAGAAGAUGGGGAGUCCUCUCAUAGUGGUAGUUUAAAUUCGACAUUGGUCACCGUGGAGACUAAAACUACUGCCAAAGAGCCAGGAAAACUAUUGUCUGCCACGACAAACACACCGUCGGCACGCUCAGAAGCAGGAGAAGUACAAAAGCCAUUAGAAGCUUGGGCAAUAUACCACCUAUGACAUAAUUACCAGGUAGUGUACCGUAAAGAGCUGAGUACAAUUUUUUCUCGCGAAGUGCACUCCCUGUCAACCAGUUGGUUGUGUAUAUUAUAGUUAAGAACCAUAACACAAACAACGACAAAUGGCGCGAACUAAUAAAAUACACAAAUUCAGAGCUGCACUAAUCACUGAUAGUGUACUCAAUAUUUUGUUGGGCAACUGCCAAUACCUGAAAAUGAAUAUGGCUUGAUACUACCACCAAAGGAGCCAGGCCGGUUACCGAUGAGAUUUUGUUUUCAAUAAUGUCAACAAUGAAUUCGUCGAAGUAUUCAAUAGAUGAAAUGAAAAGGGACACGAGCCAAAAUAAUGCCGCCAUUGCCAUUAUACUGUCCCAAUUCGUGAAAUAGCCAUGUCUGCAAAUGCUGCCAAUGAUUUGCAACAACAGAUGUCGAAAGCAGAAUCAACACAGCCAUCGAUAACGACAACUUUGCAGAAAUCGACUAUUUACACAAAACAAGUGUGAACGCCCAACACAAUCAAAGAAGAACGUUGGCUACACCAAAGAGGGUAAGAAAGAUAAGAGCUGGCGUUAGAGGGCAAUACGUGAUGACGAGUGACAAAAUUUUAAGACACAACAUAUUUGAAUUGCUCACGAUAUUUCGUUUUUCCUUUAUUGCAACUUUCGGUUGCAAAGAAACAAAGCAAAAUACGAAAAAAUGUUCGAACGAAUGCCCGAAUCAAAACAGAAUAACCCGAAAAUGUUGCAACCCUCAAUGUGAAUCCAAUUGGAAUACAAUAAAAAUGUUGUGUCUUUAACGCGAGUUAUUUUACGGUACGGGGAAGACAAAGCAGAAACUCUCUCUUGAUUAUCUUACCCUCUUUGGGCUACACAACAGCCAUCAUCUUACUUUUUGCCGUCAUCACAGAAUGAUUUGUUAUCAGCUGUGCCGAUAGCCGAUCAUCAAUAUCGAUAUAAACGAAUAAAGAAUCCUUUUUCGUUACACAAGCCGCCGUCAGAAGUAGCACCAGCUUUGCAUCCAUUGUCAAAUGUAAACAAUGCAGACGGUGCAACUAAUGAAAUUCGUGUAAGAAAUUGUGAAUUAUUUACGAAGUUGUAUAACUAACCGCACUUCGAUGAAGGCAGCAAGAGACUCCGUGCACAUAUUAUGGAGGAAUUGUGUUUCAACAUUGGACGUCCAGAUAUGCUGAUCAAGUCGCAGCUCGAGAAGAUACAAGCUUUUCCUUCCAUAUCAGAGGGUCGACCUGAUGGUAUUUUGGGUUUGGAAAUGUAUUGUAGUUGCAUUUUUUAAGUCAGCCAAAUGCGACUUGUGUUUCGGAUGUCUGCGUAAAGGCUCUAUUACACGGCAUGUAGUUGUCUUAUGACAGUCAAAAUUAGCACAUUUAGAGUUGUACAUGUCGUGUGAUACAAGUAAUGGCACAGCCAUAAAAACAAACUGGCGAUUGCCUCUUACCAUAUACAACGAAAGAGAAGGAGGAACGCAAUAGGAGUGAAACAAAAUGAAGUGGCGAUCGACGCAAAGGAAAAAAAUGUUUUUUUUUGUUGCUUGAGUUAUUCUGAGGGUGACUUGCUCCUCUUAGCUUUCUCCCUUUUUAGAUUCGAGUGCCGCCUUGUUGUGCGAUUGAGCCGGUGCUUCUUUACGAGCUUGUGCUGCCAUCGACUCCCCCCGAUUCACCAUAAACUCCUGUGAGUGAGAGCCCUCCACAACGGUCAAAACCCCGAAAAUCAUAACAGCAUCGUCAUCACCAUCUAGCUGACCGUCGGCAAAACUUCUUCAUUCUGCUUGCUAUCGCCGCAUCUGUAGAUUCGUUGCCGAAGUUCGACGCGUAGCUUGCAGUUUUCUCUUUCACAAAUAAAAUAAAAUUCAAUACCUCUCGGGAACCGGAGCAAACAAUCUAUUUUUAAUGAACUAUUGAAUUCAAAGGGAUAAAAAUAAACAAAGUUGAAAUUGUAACAA